UACGGAGGGUGCGAGCGUUAAUCGGAAUACUGGGCGUAAAGCGUGCGCAGGCGGCGCGUUAAGACGGUGUGAAAGCCCCGGGCUCAACCUGGGAAUGGCGAUGGAAACUGGCGAGCUAGAGUACGGUAGAGGAGAGUGGAAUUCCCGGUGUAGCAGUGAAAUGCGUAGAGAUCGGGGAGGAACAUCAGUUGCGAAGGCGGCUCUCUGGACCAGUACUGACGCUGAGGCACGAAAAGCGUGGGGGAGCAAACAGGG
rnacentral:rRNA from 1 species